UAUACUGUUAUAAAUAUUAUUUAACUAUAAUUGCAAUAAUACAAUUUUUACACUAUUUAUCGGGGGGGGGGGUCUCUUUUUAUGUAUAUUUUUCAAUAAAACCCGUCACGCCGUGUUUUGUUUUUUUUUUGCUACAGAUUUCCUGUUGGGAGCCGUGACUCGUCCCGUGAUGACUCCGCUGAGCGAUCGUGUAUUGAAUUUCGUGACAGAACAUAUGGCCUAUUUCCCUACCUUGAUUCCUUGCUAGAUUUAAGCGAGGAACCAAUCAGAGAAUAGAGUGUUAUGUUAUGUUAUGUUAUAUGUUAGUUUGUGUGCAAAUUAGAAAACCAGUUCGACAACAAUCCUCGUGCGACGUUAACGUAAUCACGCAAGCGAGCCAUCGCGGUUUUCUGCAAGCAGGCGAUCUAGCAAUAACAAGCGUCGUGUGCACCGGACUUAACAGAACAAAACUAUUGAGGUCUUUAUAAAUGAUACACGAAAUUUGGUAGAUUAUCCUGCGUAAAUUAUUUUUUCUCUCUAAAUUCGAUGCAGUUUCUCACGUGCAAAAAUUUGUUUUGGAAAUAAAAUUAGAAUACAUGGGCCGCCAGUUGCUCAUAUUACCUA